rnacentral:lncRNA from 1 species
GUUUAUGUUACCUGCCUCCUAAGGAAUUAGGGGAAAGCAAAAGUAGGUGCAACGUCACUCUUUGGUUGUUCUGAGCUAAAAUUUAAGUAGCAAGACGACAACCUGGGAUGGAAAGCAAAGGAGAGUCAAAGUUAAAGUCAACUUGUAAGCAAGAACAGUAAGCUCAGUCAUCCCUCUUCCUGUGUCGUGUGCACUCUAACUGCAGAGUGCUGUAAAAGUCCCAGUGCACUACAAACUGCUUGGGACCUGAGUUCUAUUUCUUCCACAGGAUCAAAUGUGGCAUAGCAUUCUCUCUCACUACUGGUCAGCAGCAGCAGCAAGCUGGAGCUCCAGAAAGCAUGAGACCUUACUGACUGAUCCUGCUAAGUCCACCAGGUUGAGUAAGGAGGUCCGGAUGUUCACGGUCUCGCUGCUCUUCUCCAUUGAUUCUAUUGUGAUGGUAAAGACUGCAUGGGAUCUAGAAGACUCUCUGUUCAUAGAUGUUGAUGCUACACGUCUGUUCCUCCAGCCUCUAGAUAAGACCUUGGGAAAAGGAGACGGUUACACGAAGCCACAAUAGGUACCCAAGGCAGAUUCAAAACAUGACAUGAGAGAAAAUAAUAACACAUAGAAAGAGUCAGUGUUGCCAGUUUGGCCUGGAGCUCACCACAUAACUCAAGCUGGCUUUGAUCCUGCUGCUUCACCUCCCAAGUACUGUGACUGUAGACGUGAAUCCCAUGCUUUAGCUUAGAUAAUAAAAAUUCUAAGCCAAAAAGAAAUC